rnacentral:lncRNA from 1 species
UCUUUUUCUCUCUCUCUUUCCGUAAACUGCAGCUUGUCAGAACAGGAGUUUGAGGACAAGGCCGGUGUAAUUUUGCAAAGGAUCUCCAGGCUGAAGCAGGACAGGGCCGCUGUUUGUAUCCCGCAGCAGGGCGCAGCAGGAGAAGGCAAGAUCAGUCCCGACACUGGCACGCUCGCAGGGGUCAGAGGUCGUGCUAGUUCACUUUCCAAAAACACCAAAGAGGAGAAAGCAGCUCUACUGUAUGAGCUGCUGACAGUCAGGGAGGAGAUGUCAGAGAUGUGUGGGAAUCUCCGGCUCCUGGAGAAAGAGAGGUGGUGUUUGGACCUGGCGCUGAUGGUCCAGAGUGCCCAGGAUUCUGCUGGUGCUCUGAUCCUGGACAGUCUGCGAGAUGAGCUGGGGGAGAGGAGAGCCACCCAGCAGCUUGUCACUCUAUCGGAAUCACUUAUUCGGAAUCACUCUAUCCUAAGAGAACUACAAGCAACACUGCAAAGGGAACAGUCACCGAGGAAGAGAGUGGCAGCUUUACGUGAGUCGCUGGACUCGGCGCUCGCAGACAGCACCACUCAGAGGAGGAUCAACAGAGAGGAGAUUGCACGCCUCUCCCGCUACUACAAUAAAGUUUCAAGCACCUACAGAAGUUCUCGAAAGAAGCACCAGGAGCAGCUGUGGUGACUGGAGAAGCAAAUCGCAGUCGUGAGGGAACGUCAUGCUAAAGAAGAGGCCGAGCUAAGUGCUACACUGGAAGCUAUGGAGUGGAGGAGAGAGGAGACCAUACUCUAAAAGACUCUGCAGCAUAGUCCUGCUUAGUGUCAUUUCAUCGACAAACAUUUCUGAAAGAUAAUGCUGAAUGUUGAUUUUGAGUGAGAGGUUAGGUAAGUACUGGUUUAGAAACACUAAGCAUAUAAAAUUGCAACUAAAUUUACUGUAAAAGAUGCACCAUUUGGCAAUUUAAAGGUAAUUGGUUUGCUGGCUAUACUGACACCUGCUGCUGUGGAUGCAACAUCACAAGCCCUUAAGUCUGGGUAUUGGGACAGGCCAGCUUUUUCUAGGUCAUUACUAGAUAUAGAUAUAGAUAUAACUCUAUAUCGUGUACAUUAUUUAAAAAA